UCUGAGAUUAGGGCCAGAAACAGCUCUAUCAGGGGUCUCCCUGAGCUUUGGGGAAGUGAGUACCCAGAGAACAGGGUUACACAGAAGGGUUUAACUGAACAAAUUUUGCUAAAGAGGGUGUGGCUGAACAUGGAUCAAACAUCUCAAGUCAUGAUUAGAAAUGCAAUUAUCCAG
rnacentral:sRNA from 1 species